CCUACGGGUGGCAGCAGUAGGGAAUAUUGCUCAAUGGGGGAAACCCUGAAGCAGCAACGCCGCGUGGAGGAUGAAGGUUUUAGGUUUGUAAACUCCUAUUGUGAGAGAAGAUAAUGACGGUAUCUCACGUAUAAGCACCGGCUAACUACGUGCCAGCAGCCGCGGUAAUACGGAGGGUGCAAGCGUUACUCGGAAUCACUGGGCGUAAAGAGUGCGUAGGCGGGCUUGUAAGUCAGAUGUGAAAUCCUGUAGCUUAACUACAGAACUGCAUUUGAAACUAUGAGUCUAGAGUGUGGGAGAGGUAGGUGGAAUUCUUGGUGUAGGGGUAAAAUGCGUAGAUAUCAAGAGGAAUACUCAUUGCGAAGGCGACCUACUGGAACAUUACUGACGCUGAUGCUCGAAAGCGUGGGGAGCAAACAGGAUUAGAUACCCCAGUAGUC
rnacentral:rRNA from 1 species